UACGAAGGGGGCGAGCGUUGUUCGGAUUUACUGGGCGUAAAGGGCGCGUAGGCGGCCCUUCUAGUCGCGUGUGAAAGCCCCGGGCUCAACCUGGGGAAUUGCGCGCGAAACGGGGGGGCUUGAGUUCGGGAGAGGAGCGUGGAAUUCCCAGUGUAGAGGUGAAAUUCGUAGAUAUUGGGAAGAACACCGGUGGCGAAGGCGG
rnacentral:rRNA from 1 species